rnacentral:lncRNA from 1 species
UAUGGAAACAUCAAGAUCAUACUUAUGAUAUCAAACACAUGCUUACAGAUAAAAACCUAGGGCUUCAGACUAGGAUAGAACAAAACUCCUCGGAUGGCUUCCACUUCUUAGAUAUAAAUGUUAAAGUGGAAAUGGGUAAGUAUGUCACAACUAUUUACAAAAAACCCACAUAUAUGCCUGUUUUAAUUCCUGCUUGGUCUAAAGAUCUGAUGUCGUAUAAGCUUGCAGCUUUUAGAAGUAUGAUCGCUAGGGUGUUUACACAUACCACCAAAUGGAUAGAUAUAGAAAAGGAACACCGAUACAUCCACAUCACAGCAGUUAAGCAUG